rnacentral:rRNA from 1 species
CACGUAGGCACCAAGCGUUGUCCGGAUUUAUUGGGCGUAAAGAGCUCGUAGGCGGUUUGGCAAGUCGGGUGUGAAAACUCCGGGCUCAACUCGGAGACGCCACUCGAUACUGCCAUGACUUGAGUCCGGUAGGGGAGUGCGGAAUUCCUGGUGUAGCGGUGAAAUGCGCAGAUAUCAGGAGGAACACCGGUGGCGAAGGCGGCACUCUGGGCCGGUACUGACGCUGAGGAGCGAAAGCGUGGGGAGCGAACAGG